AUCCUGGCUCAGGACGAACGCUGGCGGCGUGCUUAACACAUGCAAGUCGAACGAUGAUCCGGUGCUUGCACCGGGGAUUAGUGGCGAACGGGUGAGUAACACGUGAGUAACCUGCCCUUGACUCUGGGAUAAGCCUGGGAAACCGGGUCUAAUACCGGAUACGACCUUUCACCGCAUGGUGGUUGGUGGAAAGAUUUUUUGGUUUUGGAUGGACUCGCGGCCUAUCAGCUUGUUGGUGAGGUAAUGGCUCACCAAGGCGACGACGGGUAGCCGGCCUGAGAGGGUGACCGGCCACACUGGGACUGAGACACGGCCCAGACUCCUACGGGAGGCAGCAGUGGGGAAUAUUGCACAAUGGGCGAAAGCCUGAUGCAGCGACGCCGCGUGAGGGAUGACGGCCUUCGGGUUGUAAACCUCUUUCAAGCAGGGAAGAAGCCAAAGUGACGGUCCCUGCAGAAGAAGCGCCGCUAACUACGUGCCAGCACCCGGUAA
rnacentral:rRNA from 1 species